rnacentral:rRNA from 1 species
GGGUGCGAUCAUACCAGCACUAAUGCACCAGAACCCAUUAGAACUUCGCAGUUAAACGUGUUUGGAAGAUAUGUUGUAAGUU